rnacentral:rRNA from 1 species
AAGAAGGCCUUCUGGGUUGUAAACUGCUUUUGCCAGGGGCUAAAAUGCCCAUGCGUGGGAACUUGAAAGUACCUGGUGAAUAAGCCACGGCUAACUACGUGCCAGCAGCCGCGGUAAUACGUAGGUGGCAAGCGUUGUCCGGAUUUAUUGGGUUUAAAGGGUGCGUAGGCGGUCCUUUAAGUCAGUGCUGAAAUACUCCAGCUUAACUGGAGGGGUGGCAUUGAUACUGGGGGACUUGAAUGAAGUCGAGGUAGGCGGAAUUGACGGCGUAGCGGUGAAAUGCUUAGAUAUCGUCAAGAACACCGAUAGUGAAGACAGCUUACUAGGCUUAUAUUGACGCUGAGGCACGAAAGUGUGGGGAUCAAACAGGAUUAGAUACCCUGGUAGUCCACACUGUAAACGUUGAUGACUCGCUGUUGGCGAUAUACAGCCAGCGGCUUAGCGCAAGCGAUAAGUCAUCCACCUGGGGAGUACGCCGGCAACGGUG